rnacentral:rRNA from 1 species
AAAAUGAAGAGUUUGAUCAUGGCACAGAUUGAACGCUGGCGGCAGGCAAAACACAUGCAAGUCGAACGAUAACAGGAAGCAGCUUGCUGCUUAGCUGACGAGUGGCGGACGGGAGAGUAAUGUCUGGGAAACUGCCUGAUGGAGGGGGAUUUCUACUGGAAACGGUGGCUAAUACAGCAUAACGUCGCAAGACCAAAGAGGGGGACCUUCGGGCCUCUUGCCAUCAGAUGUGCCCAGAUGGGAUUAGCUUGUUGGUGAGGUAACGGCUCACCAAGGCGACGAUCCCUAGCUGGUCUGAGAGGAUGACCAG